AGAGAGAUGUUUCUCAACUUUUGCACCUGGUAGCGUUUUCCUUGCUGAUGCACCUUUGCUCUGCAGAAGGCAGAGCUGUCAGGGAGAGCAGGGCUCCUUUGCUGCCAUCUGAACAGGAAUGAGAGCAGUAAUGCUUUGUCUAAGAGCAUGGCAGUUGAAACAUGGGUUUCUGUUUUGGCCAUAGAACAGUGUCUUUUGUUUUUUUGGGGGUGGACAUGGGCUAACAGGACAAUAUGGCUCCUGGUGUCUGUGAAAUCAACACACGAUUUGUUGUUUUAGGGAUGGAGCGUGUGCGUCCAUAGGAUGGUGCUAAGCAAGGGUUGAAAUGUAAAGCCUCGCCAGGGAGAGGUGCUGAGCCAAAUGGCAAGAUCUACGUGAAAGCUGGACAGGGGGACGACCUUCCCCCACAGUUGACAACCACUCCUUCUGCAGGACCGUGGCUGCAAGAAAGCGCAAGGGAGUGGAGGAAGAGGAGCAAAAAGCAGAGCUGUGGCCUGCCAAGAAACACGCGAAGGUGGAGCGCAGUGUGGCAAAGGCCCAGAGCAGAGGCAGUGUGCCAGCUCCAGCAGCACAUCCUGGGCCUGCCCCAGUGCCGACUGAGCCUCAAAGCCAAGAGGUAAGAAGAUGCUGUUGUAGCAGCCAUGGUGAGGCACUUCCUUUAUCAAGUUGUCACGGAGUUCUCUCUAGAGCUCAUUCCGGGACAGUGGGAACAAACCCGGGGGAGCAGGAACAACAGUUCCCCCCUUCUCUCUAGUGGCACUGUAUGGCAUGGCGCGGCGCGGCCCAGCCACGUGCGUUUUGGGAGAGGGGAAGGGAAGGGAGAUUGCGAUUGGGCCUAGCAAAAAAUGAAGGAGAAAAAAAAAAAGGUGAUCUGAGAACGAACGGCAGUUUAAUAACCCAAUAACGCUAAACAACAACAAGAGAGUUUCAACAAAGAGAAUACCAAGUCCCCAAUCUCACCGAUGGAGCUGUGGAAGGCGGGAAGCUCCGACCACGUUGUCUCCUCACAGGGAGCCGGGCCAGCAACCCCGUCCCCUUCCCCACUUCCCCUCUGGUGCCACUCCCCGCAUGCCCAUUAAGGCAGUCCACAGAAAAAAAAACUUGUCCCCUUUACUCCCAUUAUUAGGCAUGGUGUUCUGAUGUGGAAUACCAACACCAACCAAAUUGCAAAACCAUAACACAAGUGCAAGAAGUUUGCUUAGGGUUUGCUUUGCUUUUUCCUUCUCUGGACAGAGAAGGGAAAAGAGUUGAAGGCUACCCAGUCCAAAGGCAAGGACAUGCCAGACUGCAUAACCACCUCUUUUUCCAUUAACUCCAUAAUGGUCUUUUGCAUGUCCCACUAGAAACCCCCUUCCCUGAGAGGCUUCCUGGCCUGUUUUCAUGGUACCCAUGUUUCCGCAGUUUUGCUGUUGACAAAAUGAAUUUCUCUUUCCUUGCUCUACAGCCAGACAACAACAACAGAAAGAGAGGAGAGCAGAAAUGAAGAAGGCUUCUCUGAGAGCUGCCCCUGCACCUGCAGAGGUGAGUCCUCGGUGAGCACAGACGUGCUCUUGUUGUUCUCAGGGCCUCCGUCUGCCAGACAUGAAGAGGACUGUAGAAUGCUGAGGGAAGCUUUGUCCUCUUGUUUCUUGCUUUGUUUCUUUCCAGUCCUCUACAAUGAACAGCCUUGUGGAGAUGAUGGAGAAGCUGCAAUGGACAGACUGAGUGGAGGAGCGUCAGAAGGCAGCGGCUUCGUGGCAGCAGCCCAGCUUGGCGCUCCAAGUCUGGUUGCAGCUCAUCAAUAAACAAGUGGAGUUUGUAUUCA
rnacentral:lncRNA from 1 species